UGAUUGGUCUUCUUCCAAGAAUUUUAAAAAAUUCUAUUGUAGAGAUACAUGUAAUGUUACAGCAAGUAAUAACAACACUAAAACAUUUAUGAAUGCUGUUUUGCAAAUGUAGUUGUUGUUGACACAGUCUUAAAUUGUUUUUUGAAUAAAUGGUUGAUUU
rnacentral:sRNA from 1 species